GCACAGGAAGACCAGGAAGCAGAGACAGAACCCAAAAAGGAGACAGAAAGCGAACCAGAAGACAACCUCGAUGAUCUAGAGAAGCACCUGCGAGAGAAGGCCCUGAGGUCGAUGAGGAAGGCGCAAGUGUCACCACCAUCCUAGGCUGAAUCCUUUGAUAUAAUGUACAUUUUAUUUGGUUUGUACUCAGAAUUCAAUUUCAAAUUGCUAAAUGUGUUUGAGCUUUAGAAUAUAACAUUUGUUGUAAUAAUUGCUAGGUUGAGGUUCACCAUGUACAAAGGGCAUGGAUUUUCAUUACAAAAGGUGUCCACAGUGUACUAGUGACAUUCUUUCAUUGACAGUCAACAUAAUUUCAUUUAGAGUGAGACUUUUUAGAAGCGGUAGGAAUUUGUUUUGAAGGUUUUAAACAUGACCGUCGGUUCCCUCGUUUCUUUGGAACUCAGCAAAGCCUUUAGCAUAAUCCGUGAGGGUCUCAUUGGACUUCUUUUGUCUCCACUGACGUUACGCUACUAACCCUUGUGGUUUGUAAGCUUGCCCAAAGUAAAACCACUGCAGAAUUCCCAAGGAAGAACAUCUAUUUUAAUGCUUUCUACUGUUGCCUGUAUAGUCUCCAUUAAAGCGAACCAAGAAUAGCAGUUUAGAAUGGUACAUAAAUGAAAGCAUGUUGUUUACCAGGACACUGUGGGUUUAUAUGGAUGUAACAUGUUGAUUUGGAACACUGGAAUUUCAUUUGUAUUUUUAUGUUCUUUUUUUAAAGGGCAGUUUCCAUGAUCAGCAGUCCCAGAAAAAAAAAAAAAUUCCUUCGGUUCCAUCAAUUUUGUUUGUGAGAUGUCGUUGCCCCAUUCAUAAAUCUUGUCUCGUUAUGGUUCUUCUGAAUGGUAUAAGCAACUUUCAGAGAUGUGGUCUUUGAAAGUUGGAGGAACCUGAACUUUGGAUAUUGUCAUGUUUUCACUGUUUUUUGUUUUUGUUUUUUUAACUAAAGCUAUAUAAAGCUUGUGGAUUAAACAAAAUAAAUUUCUAAAUUUAAACAGA